GAAGAUUUUGGAGAGACCAUUCUAUGUCCGUAGUGGGUGUUCAGUUGAAGUCCUGGUGUCAUCGCUGCAAUUGGCCGCUGGGAGAAUGCUGCGGUCCUUCUUGACUUUGGUUGUAUUGCAGAUUUGGAACUGCCGCCCCGGGGAUUGUCAGGCGGACCCUUCAGAAAGCGUGAAGUUGAGGCUGGUGAACGGGGGCAGUCCAUGCACCGGGAGAGUGGAGGUUCACUACAGGGGGAACUGGGGGACUGUGUAUGAUCAAGGCUGGGACCUGCAGGACGCGGCGG